CCAAUUGAGCUAUGGCAGCAUCGAUUCAACUGAGUGAUGUGUUUUACUCAGGUAUUCCUUGAUGAUGGCUCUGAAAUACGCUUCAUCAGUUCAUAACUAUCGCAGCCAGGUGGUCGAGAGUUUCGAUAAAUCAAUAUAACUUGGGAUCACAGAGAUGCAGUAUAUAUUGUUCUUCGAUGCAACGGAAAUCAAGCAUUAUCAUGUAUUUGCAAAUAAUACGC